GAUGAAGAACGUAGCGAAAUGCGAUAAGUAAUGUGAAUUGCAGAAUUCAGUGAAUCAUCGAGUCUUUGAACGCACAUUGCGCCCGCCAGUAUUCUGGCGGGCAUGCCUGUUCGAGCGUCAUUACAACCCUCAGGCCCCCGGGCCUGGCGUUGGGGAUCGGCGGAAGCCCCCUGCGGGCACAACGCCGUCCCCCAAAUACAGUGGCGGUCCCGCCGCAGCUUCCAUUGCGUAGUAGCUAACACCUCGCAACUGGAGAGCGGCGCGGCCACGCCGUAAAACACCCAACUUCUGAAUGUUGACCUCGAAUCAGGUAGGAAUACCCGCUGAACUUAAGCAUAUCAAUAAGCGGAGGA
rnacentral:misc_RNA from 1 species